UUUUAGACAAUAAUAUUCCAAAAAAUACGAAAACCAAAAGAGUUAUAUCCUCCGUAUGUUACCGCCGUUUGCGUUUGUCCAUCUCUUUUCCAUGCAAUUAUAUGUAUAUAUAUAAUCAUGUUCAGGUAGAAAUCAUCUUCAAUUCGAUCCCCCUAACUUAAUAAGCUCAAUCAUCAUAUAUAAUCCCACUUUAUUUAACUAAACAAAAAUGGCACGCCAAAUUGUUGUUCUCGCCUUAGUCCUGGUGGCUCUUGUCGGAUUCGCCUCCGCCGCUGAUACGCCUACAGGUUCUCCGGCCACCGCCCCAGCAGCUGGCGCCAGUUCCCCUACGGCAUCAUCCUCCCCGACAGCAACUCCUUCCACCUCUCCCACCUCCGCCCCUACCCCGUCCAUAUCUCUUGCUCCGGAUGCUGAGACGCCCGGCGAGGCUCCCUCUCCUUUUGCUGCAGGACCCGGAAAAAAUGCAGCAGAUGCUGAUUACGACGACCGCUAAUCAACGUGAAACAAAAUUCAAUACGAGAUAUGCUAUUAUAUAAAUAAAUUAAUGCACGAGAUGUUCUAAUUUUUGUAUCUCACUUGAAAUUAAGUGAUGUUACCCGAUAGCAAAAUAAAGGAAACUUAGUGCCGAUAUAUCGAG
rnacentral:lncRNA from 1 species